rnacentral:rRNA from 1 species
AGCAGCCGCGGUAAUUCCAGCUCCAAUAGCGUAUAUUAAAGUUGUUGCAGUUAAAAAGCUCGUAGUUGAAUUUCGGGGUUAGUAGGUUGGUCAUGCCUCUGGUAUGUACUGGUCUCACUGAUUCCUCCUUCCUGAUGAAUCUUAAUGCCAUUAAUUUGGUGUUUUGGGGAAUUUGGACUGUUACUUUGAAAAAAUUAGAGUGUUUAAAGCAAGCUAACGCUUGAAUACAUUAGCAUGGAAUAAUGAAAUAGGACGUUCGAUCCUAUUUUGUUGGUUUCUAGGAUUGACGUAAUGAUUAAUAGGGAUAGUUGGGGGCAUUAGUAUUCAAUUGUCAGAGGUGAAAUUCUUGGAUUUAUCGAAGACUAACUACUGCGAAAGCAUUUGCCAAGGAUGUUUUCAUUAAUCAAGAACGAAAGUUAGGGGAUCGAAGACGAUCAGAUACCGUCGUAGUCUUAACCAUAAACUAUGCCGACUAGGGAUCGGAUGAUGUUAAUUUUUUAAUGACUCA